rnacentral:rRNA from 1 species
UACGUAGGGGGCAAGCGUUGUCCGGAUUUAUUGGGCGUAAAGAGCGUGUAGGCGGUUUGGUAGGUCCGCUGUGAAAACUCGAGGCUCAACCUCGAGACGCCGGUGGAAACCAUCAGGCUAGAGUCCGGAAGAGGAGAGUGGAAUUCCUGGUGUAGCGGUGAAAUGCGCAGAUAUCAGGAAGAACACCCGUGGCUAAGGCGGCUCUCUGGGCCGGAACUGACGCUGAGGAGCGAAAGCGUGGGUAGCAAACAGG